rnacentral:lncRNA from 1 species
GAAUUAUUUCUUCACUAUUUCACUUUCAUAACUGAUUGAUCUUUAAGUACUGUUCAUUUGCAUGUUGUUGUGCAUUUAGAAUGACUUUCUUGUGGGCUGAUGAUACUGGCGGGAGGAAAUACAAGCGGUGGUAUCUACUCAGCGAUGUAAAAAAAUUAAACACGUCAUUGAAAACUGUAUGCGACGGAAGCUUUCUAGACUGCCUCUUGAAUCCAAAUA